AUGAUGGGAGGGCGCGCGGUGCUCCUGCUGGUGAUCUCGGCGCUGUUCGCGCAGAUCGGCGCGUCGGAUCCGCUGUUCCACGAGUCCUUCAACGAGAGCUUCGACGGGAGCUGGAUCGUGUCCGGCAAGGAGGAGUAUAAAGGUGUAUGGAAGCACGCAAAGAGUGAUGGCCAUGAAGACUAUGGUCUCCUUGUUAGUGAGCCUGCCAGGAAAUAUGCCAUAAUCAAAGAACUUGAUCACCCGGUUAUUUUGAAGGAUGAGACAGUUGUCCUGCAGUUUGAAGUGAGGCUUCAGAAUGGCCUUGAGUGUGGAGGUGCUUAUAUCAAGUACAUCCGUCCUCAGGCUACCGGAUGGAACGCCAAGGACUUUGAUAAUGAUACUCCGUACACAAUUAUGUUUGGUCCUGACAAGUGUGGUUCAACAAACAAGGUUCACUUCAUCCUGAAGCACAAGAACCCUAAGACUGGCAAAUACGUUGAACAUCACCUCAAGUCCCCACCCUCUGUCCCAUAUGACAAGCUCUCUCAUGUCUACACGGCUAUCUUGAAGCCGGAUAAUGAGGUCAGAAUUUUGGUGGAUGGGGUGGAGAAGAGCAAAGCAAACUUCCUGUCUGCUGAUGAUUUUGAGCCGGCACUUAUUCCAUCAAAGACUAUUCCUGACCCUGACGACAAGAAGCCAGAGGACUGGGACGAGAGAGCUAAGAUCCCUGAUCCAGUUGCGGUGAAGCCCGAUGACUGGGAUGAGGAUGCCCCAAUGGAAAUUGUGGAUGAGGAGGCCACCAAGCCAGAAGGAUGGUUGGAUGAUGAGCCUGAGGAAAUUGAUGAUCCAGAGGCUGCUAAGCCUGAGGACUGGGAUGAUGAGGAGGAUGGCGAAUGGGAGGCACCCAAGAUGGACAACCCCAAGUGCGAAGUGGCACCUGGAUGUGGUGAAUGGAAGAAGCCGAUGAAGGAUAACCCUGCCUACAAGGGCAAGUGGCAUGCCCCCCUGAUUGACAACCCCAACUACAAGGGAAUCUGGAAGCCCCAAGAAAUCCCCAACCCAGAGUACUUUGAGCUUGACAAGCCUGACUUUGACCCAAUUGCCGCUAUUGGAAUUGAGAUCUGGACAAUGCAGGAUGGCAUCCUAUUUGACAACAUUCUUAUUGCCGAUAAUGAGAAGGUAGCCACCUCUGUCCGGGAGAAGACAUGGAAGCCCAAGUUUGAUGCCGAGAAGGAAAAACAGAAGGCUGAGGAGGCUGCAGCAGGUGCAUCAGAGGGCCUUUCUGAAAUCCAGAAGAAGAUCUUCGACAUUUUGUACAAAGUUGCAGACAUCCCGUUCUUGGAACCAUACAAGACCAAGAUCAUUGAUGUGAUUGAGAAGGGAGAGACACAGCCAAACAUAACAAUUUCGAUUUUGGCCUCGGUUAUCGUCGUCAUUGUGACUGUACUCUUCAGAGCCCUGUUUGGUGGCAAGAAGCCAGUGGCACCUGUGAAGCCUGCUGCUGAGACCAAGAAGCCCAGUGCCGUCGUACCUGAUGCCGCCGCUGGAAGCAGCGGCGACAAGGAGGAUGACAAGGAUGCACCGCGCCGAAGGUCGCGAAGAGACGCAUAA
rnacentral:rRNA from 1 species